rnacentral:rRNA from 1 species
UAAGGAAUAUUGGUCAGUGGACGCAAGUCUGAACCAGCCAUGCCGCGUGAAGGAUGAAGGUCCUCUGGAUUGUAAACUUCUUUUAUCUGGGACGAAAACGGGAUUUUUAUCUCAAUUGACGGUACCAGAGGAAUAAGCACCGGCUAACUCCGUGCCAGCAGCCGCGGUAAUACGGAGGGUGCGAGCGUUAUCCGGAUUUACUGGGUGUAAAGGGCGCGCAGGCGGGAUAAAAAGUCAGUGGUGAAAUCCUACAGCUUAACUGUAGAACUGCCUUUGAUACUUUUAUUCUUGAGUUCGGGAGAGAGAGGCGGAAUUCCAGGUGUAGUGGUGAAAUACGUAGAUAUCUGGAAGAACACCAGUUGCGAAGGCGGUCUCUUGGUCCGACACUGACGCUGAGGCGCGAAAGCGUGGGGAGCAAACA